CGACAAUUCCGGUAGUAAUAUCGGAAUGCUUUUAUUAGAUCAAAACCUUCUAGUUCUUUAACCGGAACUGUUUGUUGGUGACUCUAAAUAACUUUGUGUUGAUCGUAUGACCUUUGUGUCGACGACAUAUCUUUCAAGUGUCUGACUUAUCAACUUUAGACGGUACAUUAUAUGUCUACCGUGGUUGUAACGAGUACAGAGAAUCAGGGGUUUGGUUCUGGAGAGGCCGCCUGAGAAACGGCGACCACUUCCAAGGAAGGCAGCAGGCGCGCAAAAUUACCCCACUCUCAAAACGAGGAGGUAGUGAAGAGAAAUAACGAUGUUAGUCUUUUAUAGGCUGACAAUCGGAAUGGGAACACUGUAAACAGGUUAUCGAUUAACAAUUGGGAGGGCAAGUCUGGUGCCAGCAGCCGCGGUAAUUCCAGCUCCAAU
rnacentral:rRNA from 1 species